rnacentral:rRNA from 1 species
CGUAGGGUGCAGGGCGUUAAUCGGAAUUACUGGGCGUAAAGCGUGCGCAGGCGGUUUCUUAAGUCAGAUGUGAAAGCCCCGGGCUUAACCUGGGAACUGCGUUUGAAACUGGGAGACUUGAGUGUGGCAGAGGGGGGUGGAAUUCCACGUGUAGCAGUGAAAUGCGUAGAUAUGUGGAGGAACACCGAUGGCGAAGGCAGCCCCCUGGGUUAACACUGACGCUCAUGCACGAAAGCGUGGGGAGCAAACAGGAUUAGAUACCCUGGUAGUCCACGCCUAAACUAUGUCAACUGGUUGUCGGGGGAUUAACUCCCUUGGUAACGAAGCUAACGCGUGAAGUUGACCGCCUGGGGAGUACGGUCGCAAGAUUA